CCACCCCACACUAAUCUCUACCUCCAGUCUCCUCUCUUUCCCAUCCUCCAUAUUUAGUCAUGGAUGCUGUUAUUAAACAGUUGCUGUUCCUCCAGGCAUUUGAUUAAAUUUUUUUCACCCCACACCCCCAGCCAGCAGAGGUGUCUGUGAGGAAUGAGCUGGGGAGGCUCCAUUUUGCUCAGAUUCAGAUGAAGAAUGAUCAAAAGCCAAGGAAAGCAAGACGACGAGGAGGCAGAAAUGAGUACACAGUUUAUGUAACAUUUAACUCAAGACUACAAAAGGAUCCAUCCAGAACCGCAU